GGCGUAUUUCGCCCAGGCGGAGCUCGACCGCCCGUUCCGGAAAUGAUCGCCUUCAUCGACGCGCACCGCGCCGUUCACGGGGUCGAGCCGAUCUGCCGAGUGCUGCCGAUCGCCCCG
rfam:Azospirillum lipoferum 4B plasmid AZO_p1 complete genome